CUGGUUUCCUUGGUGAUGAUGUAUCUAUUUAUUUAUUUAUUUAUUUAUUUAUUUAUUUAUUUAUACAAUUUCGCCAUUUAAUAAUUUUACACGAUGACAUGUAUACAAUACAAUACAAUACAAUACAAUAUAAUACAACACAACACAACACAACACAACACAACACAACACAACACAACACGACACGACACGACACGACACAACACAACACAACACAACACAACACAACACAACACAACACAACACAACACAAUACAAUACAAUACAAUACAAAAACAAUACAAAAACAAUACAAAAACGAUACAAAAACAAUACAAAAACAAUACAAAAACAAAACAAAACAAAACAAAACAAAACAAAACAAAACAAAACAAAACAAAACAAAACAAAACAAAACAAAACAAAACAAAACAAAACAAAACAAAACGAUGCAAUCUAACGCAAG